rnacentral:rRNA from 1 species
UACGUAGGGUGCAAGCGUUAUCCGGAAUCACUGGGCUUAAAGCGUGUGUAGGCGGAUCGUUAAGUGCCUUGUGAAAUCCCACGGCUCAACCGUGGAACUGCUUGGCAUACUGGCGGUCUUGAGCAACCUAGGGGCGAGCGGAACAAAUGGUGGAGCGGUGAAAUGCGUAGAUAUCAUUUGGAACGCCAAUGGUGAAAACAGCUCGCUGGGGGUUUGCUGACGCUGAGACACGAAAGCCAGGGGAGCAAACGGG